GGUAUCGAAAUAUAGCUGACACUAGACUUUUGAUACAGCCACAAACUAAUACAUGGUAACAGGAUUUGAUCAAUCAUUUAAUAAGUAUUUGCCGUGCAAACUUGCCAUUUCUGUGCAAGUCUCGCAGUACGUUUAUGUCAAACUUCCUUGCACAAACUAUUGUGUUAGUUCGACAGCAUGUUCUAAUGCAUAUUAGAAAGUUACAGUGCAAUAUUUCCGCAUAUUUGAAACAACAUGCUGAUAUCGCACGAGAUUACGAUAGAAUAAUUAGUGCAUGUUAUAUAAUAUUGUCUUAUAUUUGAUUAACGUCUAUAUAAAUAAUGUUUAUAUAUAUAAAACCUAUGUCUGUGAGAAACGCGUUAUUACUUGCAUAAUACGAAAUCAAUUAUUAUUAUUUUCAAGAUAUUAUUAUACUGUAUAUUCGAUUUUUCUCCUUCAUUUUCGAUCAGUGCAAGUGCAAUUGCAAAGUAUGUUUAUUUGCCUUAUUACUUAUUAUAGCAUGGUGUUUGAUUUGUGACCACAAUUUUUGCCUAUUUCGUUCCGAUAUUUCGUGACUUCAUCAAGAGAGAAAAAACAAAAUAGUUCCAAAACGUUGAGAUUAAAAUGACGAAAAAUGUGUCUGAUAGUAUUAAUCAGCAGCAUUAAAGUUCUGCAUGACACAGAAGAAAUAUAUUUUACUCUACAAACAAGAUCAAUGGACAGAAGAAAUUACCA